ACCCUUUCCCAUCUCCCCAUGCUGCUGAGAUGGUACCAGCGUGUACAGGAGCUACCCAGUGUACUGAGGACUGCAAAGGAUUGUGGGAUGGCCCUCCUCAGUCUCAGCACGGUUGACCCUUGCCCUCCCCAGCCGGAGGCCCUACGACCCAGUGGAGCAAAGCAGGAAGGGCCAAAACUCAAGCAAGAGCCUUUGGUCGGUGGCCUGCGGCCAACUCUCUCCAAACUGCAAGAGGAACCGCUGAUUCAGUCCAUAACCUCCUGUGCAGUCUUCCUCCUGCUUAUUCAAUUUCCCACCACUUCCAUAGCAGACCUGCUGAUUUACCCAGCAUCUCACCGGCCCACAAACUCAGGCAACACUUCAUCGGUGCAGAAAUCUGCAGAUAAUGAGUAGAGAGCCCACAGUGGUCUCAUACACUUUCGCUGUACAACUCCCACAGGAGUGGCAAACAGAGUAACAACGCUAGGUCUCUUUUCUGUCUGUCCCGGACCACAAUCCUGCAGUCGGGUCCCCAGCAGGAGAAUGGGAUAGAUGCUGUUUCUGUUGCUCACCCUUGCCCUUCAUGGACAGUUGAUUGGGAGAGCCUACCGCCAGCUGUCAACCCCACUCAUUUGAAAUUGUAAUCCACUAAGCCUGACAGUGCCUACAAAGGAACUGGCUUUGAUAUGAUUUCAACAAUCGAUGUAGUGACAGAUUUAAUGCCUAGGAUUGAUGGGCAUAGAAUAAGUAAUGUAAAAACAAUUUUGGAGCAUUUUUGUCUCCUACAUAUUUGCAUUGCUUUGACUUUUUGAAAGUAAAUUAUUGCCAUACUUGUAGAAAUGUGUUUCUGAGCAGAGAAUAUUCAUGCCUAUCCUGUGUCAUGUGCUGGGGUCUUAACUAGCUUGAAUAGCAGGCAGCUGUUUUUUUUCACCAGGAAUAAGUGAGAUGCCAAUCACCUCACACAGACCAUCGAGUGAGCUCCGUGGAGAAACAGAAAUCCAGUUCGUUUAAAGAGUCUGGGAACAAUCCUCAUCAACCCACGCCCCUGAGAGCAUAACUUACUUGAGUCAAAAGACUACAUACAAUUCUGGUUGGUAAGAUUUCAGACGCCUUUGCCUUUUGCAUACAACAGCAUCUCUACAACCUGGUUGCCACGGUGAUGGAGUUGGCCCGCCCUGGGGCGGGGGGGUGGCUGG